AGGAGGCGCGGGGAGAGUAGGGUGCUGUGGUCUGAGCUAGAGGGUGAAGCCGGCUGUGCAGGAGGAUGGGCGAGCAGUCUGAAUGCCAGAAUGGAUAACCGUUUUGCUACAGCGUUUGUUAUUGCUUGUGUGCUUAGCCUCAUUUCCACCAUCUACAUAACAGCCUCCAUUGGCACAGACUUCUGGUAUGAAUAUCGAAGUCCAGUUCAAGAAAAUUCCAGUGAUUUGAAUAAAAGCAUCUGGGAUGAAUUCGUUAGUGAUGAGGCAGAUGAAAAGACUUAUAAUGAUGCACUUUUUCGAUACAAUGGCACAGUGGGAUUGUGGAGACGGUAUAUCAUCAUAUCCAAAAACAUGCAUUGGUAUAGCCCACCACAAAGGACAGAGUCAUUUGAUGUGGUCACAAAAUGUGUGAGUUUCACACUGACGGAGCAGUUCAUGGAGAAAUUUGUUGGUCCCGGAAACCACAAUAGCGGGAUUGAUCUACUUAGGACCUAUCUGUGGCGUUGCCAGUUCCUUCUGCCUUUUGUGAGUUUAGGUUUGAUGUGCUUCGGGGCUUUGAUUGGACUUUGUGCUUGCAUUUGCCGAAGCUUAUAUCCCACCGUCGCCAAGGGCAUUCUCCAUCUCCUUGCAGGUCUGUGUACACUGGGCUCAGUAAGUUGUUAUGUUGCUGGAAUUGAACUACUCCACCAGAAACUAGAGCUCCCUGACAAUGUAUCGGGUGAAUUUGGAUGGUCCUUCUGCCUGGCUUGUGUCUCAGCUCCCUUACAGCUCAUGGCUUCUGCUCUCUUCAUCUGGGCUGCUCACACCAACCGGAAAGAGUACACAUUAAUGAAGGCAUAUCGUGUGGCCUCAGCAAGAAACUGCCUGCUUUACAAUUGCCAUUUUAUUUUUUUAAAAUACUUUCCUCACCUCCUUCUCAGUUGUUUUUAAUUUUUAUUUUAUUUGUGGAUAUACCAUUUUAUUAUGAAAAUCUAUUUUAUUUAUACUCAUACACCACUAAAUACACACUUAAUACCACUAAAAUUUAUGUGGUUUACUUUAAGUGAUGCCAUCUUUCAAAUAAACUAAUAUAGGUCUAGACAGAAAGAAAUGGAUAGAGACUUGACACAUAUUUAUGAAAGAUAAUUGGCAGAGGAAUUUGACCCAAACAAGUUCUGCUAAUGUCUGUUAGACUUUUCUGUAAAACUAAAGUAACUAUCUAUUCAACUGAAAACUCUCUAAUAAUUUCUCUGGGAAACCUCUCAUCAUUGUCCAAACUUCAUGUUCACUUUGCUGUUGUAGAUAGCCAGUCAGCCAGCAGUAUUAGUGCUACUUUCAAAGACUUAAGCAUUAUAAAAUUGGGAAAUUAUCUAAUAUCAUUUUCCCUAAGCAUUGGCACAUAGCUUCAUCUGAGGUGAGAUAUGGCAGCUGUUUAUAUCUGCACUGGUGUCUGUCUACAAAAAGUGAAAAAUACAAUGUUUACUCGAAAUUUUCACUUUGUAACUGCAAGAAUUCCAAUUCAGCCAGACAAGGAUUAUUAUUUUUAACUCUCCAUAAAAUUUUUAGUACCACCAAAUCAUUUGGGAUGUUUUUCCUUUCCUCUUCACAUACCAGGGUUAUUCAAAGUGUGCUUUCUUUUUAACUUAUAUUACAGUUACAAAGUAACAUUCCCCAACUGCUAUUUAGUUACUCUAGCCCAGUACCAUAAAGAACGGUUCACCAUAAUGACCCUCCAGAGCUGGGAAACC